rnacentral:rRNA from 1 species
UACGUAGGGUCCAAGCGUUAAUCGGAAUUACUGGGCGUAAAGCGUGCGCAGGCGGUUCUGAAAGUCAGCUGUGAAAGCCCCGGGCUUAACCUGGGAAUUGCGGUUGAAACUACAGGGCUAGAAUCUGGCAGAGGGGGGGUGGAAUUCCACGUGUAGCAGUGAAAUGCGUAGAGAUGUGGAGGAACACCGAUGGCGAAGGCAGCCCCCUGGGCUGAGAUUGACGCUCAGGCACGAAAGCGUGGGGAGCAAACAGG